CUGGUAGUCCACGCUGUAAACGAUGUCGAUUUGGAGGUUGUUCCCUUGAGGAGUGGCUUCCGGAGCUAACGCGUUAAAUCGACCGCAUGGGGAGUACGGCCGCAAGGUUAAAACUCAAAUGGAUUGACGGGGGCCCGCACAAGCGGUGGAGCAUGUGGUUUAAUUCGAUGCAACGCGAAGAACCUUACCUACUCUUGACAUCCAGAGAAUUUAGCAGAGAUGCUUUAGUGCCUUCGGGAACUCUGAGACAGGUGCUGCAUGGCUGUCGUCAGCUCGUGUUGUGAAAUGUUGGGUUAAGUCCCGCAACGAGCGCAACCCUUAUCCUUUGUUGCCAGCACAUUAUGGUGGGAACUCAAAGGAGACUGCCGGUGAUAAACCGGAGGAAGAUGGGGAUGACGUCAAGUCAUCAUGGCCCUUACGAGUAGGGCUACACACGUGCUACAAUGGCGUAUACAAAGAGAAGCGACCUCGCGAGAGCAAGCGGAACUCAUAAAGUACGUCGUAGUCCGGAUUGGAGUCUGCAACUCGACUCCAUGAAGUCGGAAUCGCUAGUAAUCGUAGAUCAGAAUGCUACGGUGAAUACGUUCCCGGGCCUUGUACACACCGCCCGUCACACCAUGGGAGUGGGUUGCAAAAGAAGUAGGUAGCUUAACCUUCGGGAGGGCGCUUACCACUUUGUGAUUCAUGACUGGGGUGAAGUCGUAACAAGGUAACCA
rnacentral:rRNA from 1 species